rnacentral:rRNA from 1 species
GAUGAACGCUGGCGGCGUGCCUAAUACAUGCAAGUCGAGCGAACAGACGAGGAGCUUGCUCCUCUGACGUUAGCGGCGGACGGGUGAGUAACACGUGGAUAACCUACCUAUAAGACUGGGAUAACUUCGGGAAACCGGAGCUAAUACCGGAUAAUAUAUUGAACCGCAUGGUUCAAUAGUGAAAGACGGUUUUGCUGUCACUUAUAGAUGGAUCCGCGCCGCAUUAGCUAGUUGGUAAGGUAACGGCUUACCAAGGCAACGAUGCGUAGCCGACCUGAGAGGGUGAUCGGCCACACUGGAACUGAGACACGGUCCAGACUCCUACGGGAGGCAGCAGUAGGGAAUCUUCCCCAAUGGGCGAAAGCCUGACGGAGCAACGCCGCGUGAGUGAUGAAGGUCUUCGGAUCGUAAAACUCUGUUAUUAGGGAAGAACAAAUGUGUAAGUAACUAUGCACGUCUUGACGGUACCUAAUCAGAAAGCCACGGCUAACUACGUG